rnacentral:tRNA from 1 species
UGGGACAUAGCGUAGUUUGGUAAUGUGUUAUCUUGGGAUGAUGGAGAUCGUGGAUUCAAAUACCGCUGCUCCAA